rnacentral:rRNA from 1 species
CCGGGUGAGUAACACGUGACUACCUACCCUUGAGUGGGGGAUAACCUCGGGAAACCGAGGCUAAUACCGCAUAAUAUCGAAAGAUCAAAGGAGUAAUCCGCUUUUGGAGGGGGUCGCGGCUGAUUAGCUAGUUGGCGGGGUAACGGCCCACCAAGGCGAAGAUCGGUAUCCGGCCUGAGAGGGCGCACGGACACACUGGAACUGAAACACGGUCCAGACUCCUACGGGAGGCAGCAGUGGGGAAUUUUGCGCAAUGGGGGAAACCCUGACGCAGCAACGCCGCGUGGAGGAUGAAGUCCCUUGGGACGUAAACUCCUUUCGACCAAGACGAUAAUGACGGUACUGGUGGAAGAAGCACCGGCUAACUCUGUGCCAGCAGCCGCGG